rnacentral:rRNA from 1 species
UACGGGGGGGGCAAGCGUUGUUCGGAAUUACUGGGCGUAAAGGGCUCGUAGGCGGCCAACUAAGUCGGACGUGAAAUCCCCAGGCUCAACCUGGGAACUGCGUCCGAUACUGGAUGGCUUGAAUCCGGGAGAGGGAUGCAGAAUUCCAGGUGUAGCGGUGAAAUGCGUAGAUAUCGAGAGGAACACCAGUGGCGAAGGCGAGUCCCUGGACAAAACCUGACACUGAGGCACGAAAGCUAGGGGAGCAAACAGG